GGAAUAUAAGAAACUGUAUUUUAACUUUUAACUAAAAAAACUAAGAACUAGUUCUUAAAUAACCGGUUCUUGGCUUUUUUAGUUAAAAUUUAAAAGAUAAUUUCUUAUAUUCU
rfam:Brassica napus, WGS project CCCW01000000 data, contig: 1859